CAGAGGCUCUGCCCGCCCAUGAGGAAGGCAAAUGGGGCCUGGGUCCCGAAAGCCGUGCUCGGCAGGGCACGCAGCACACUCCCGGCAAAGUUCAGCCAUGCGCCUAGGACGGUCUGCAGGGACAAGAGCAGGCCCUUGUGUGGGGUCUAACUCACCGCCCAGCGGAGCCCGAUGGAGUCCAGAAACCAGAUGGCCACCACACCGGACGGUAUGGACACCACAAAGAAGACCAGCGAGAGCCAGUUGAUCUGCUCGAUGGACAGGAGGAAGUGCUGGGCAAUUGUAUCGGCCACGGGUGCAAAGCUGAGCCAUAGCUGUGGGACACAUGCUGGUAUCAACUCAGGGUGGGCACCAUGGACCCCACAGCCGCCUGCUGUCCUGGGCUUGGGCAGCUGGCCAGAGAAGGAGAAAGUGCCUGCAGUCCCAUAAUAAUAAAGGCCAAGUCUUCCCCUGGCCACCCUUGAGGGAGGUCGCCAGGUGGGGGUCAGACAGCAUACCCGAGCCGUGGACCUGCGACAUCCAUGCAAGUGUGGACCUGGGGGCAGCCAGGUGGAGAGCCACCCAGAGCUUACAAGGCCACCAGCCCCACCAGCCCUGAGCCUCCAAGCAGAAACACCUGGAUUGUGUGCUGGCCUUGCCCGAGUCCAGCCGACAUCCCAAUGGGAGACCCAGGUGUUUGGGAGGGCAGAGCAGGGCACAGGUCUCCAGGCUCAGAAAGAGCCCCAUGCAGGCCUAGCUGCUUCCUGCCAGCUAUGUCCAACACACAGACUGUGGUGUCUGCUUCCCAGCGUGCCCUGCGGGAAGCCAGCCUUCACUGGCCUCACCCAUCCUUCCCAAAGCGUGUGGCCUGCAGAGCAGAGAUGGUUCUAAACCAUGCAAGGCAACAUGGGGAUGACAGUCUGUACCCACUACACAAGAAUUCCCUUUGACAUGCUCCCAGCCUUGCCAGGGGCCAUGUCCUUUUGGGCAUGUUAGCAGCUGCCCCACAUGUUGGCUCUGGCCCAGACCUCUGGGCUGUCUCUUUGGGCCACUUGGGGGUCACCCCAGACCUCACUUCAAGCACUGCUCCAUCUCAUGUUGCCCUCUCAGAACCUGGGAGUCCUGGUCACUCGGCUACAGACGAGUCAGCGAAGAGCCAAGUGGACUUGGCCAGGGCAAGCUUGGUGGCCAGUGCUGGGCGCACGACAGUGCUGGGUGACACUGCUUGCUCCACGAUGACUUGUGCAUAAAAGGGGAGUGCAGCAGGACACGGCCCCCGUGUCCACGAACCUUCCCAAGGCACUUAUGAUGCCCUUCCACUCAGACUCAUUGAAAUAGUUCCAGGGGCCAAGGGAGACCCUGUCUGCACCCUCAGACCGCUUCACUCAAAGCCAGUUCUGGCUUCCCAGCGUCUAGACACAGAGACCCGGGGGCCAGGCCGCAGUCGUGAGCCCCGCAGAGAAAAGAGGUUUCUGAAGUUGGAGCC